UCUGGUACCGCUUUGCCACCAGACAAAAAAUGCAAAGAGCCCCUGCGGAUAUGUAAGAAAUUGUCCAGCUCCCAGUGCCCUCAACCCAGUGCCCAGGAAUGAAUUAACCCCACAGCACCCUUGCGAAGAAAGGCAAAGCAAGCAAAGUUUCACUGGGCCUGGACAUGAAGUUAAAGAAUUAAUACUAUGUGACGGGUAGGUUGGCAGAAGCACAGAAUAUACACGUGGACUCUAUUUACACCAGCACUGUGGUGGAGUGACCUUGUUUCCUAGGAAUUAUUUUCUGAAUGAUUACAUCUCAGUUCAUAGAAGGCAUACGUUUUGGGAAAAAAGAACAGAUGCACAUCUGGAAUUACAAAGAUAAAGCACCAUUAAUUCAUUCCUCAAAACCACAAAGUUAACAUGGAGAAAACCAAAUAUAGAAGCAGGUGAAGAUUAAAGAGCCAGGAAGGGAAGGCUGGGCAGAAGGAGGCAAAUAGUGGUUAGCACACGUCUAGUUUUUUUAUCAUACUCAUCUCAAAUCCCAAAGCAGCCAUCUUUGAGGCGUAAUAACUCUGUUAUUUCCCCAAGAAAAGGGCAUGUAAGUGUGUAAUCUACAAGUGUAUAACUGCUUAUAUAUAUUUUAUUUCUGGUAAUUUUUGCUUUAUGUAUUUUGAGGUUAUGUUAAUAGACGCAUAUAAGUUUUGAAUUGUUAUAUCUUCCAGUGCAUUGAACUCUGUUGCCUGUUUCUCCUUUUAUUUAUGUUAAUUUUUUGCCUUAUAUAUGUUGAGGCUACAUGACUAGGCACAUAGAAGUUGAGAAUAAUUAUUUUUUUCUGGUGAAUUGGUGCUUUCUCAUUAUGAAACAUGAUUUUCUAAUUAUAAUAAUAUUUCUUAAUUUGCUACUUGAUCAGAUAUUAAUAUAGCUAUAUAUUUGAAUUUUGUGUUAUAUCCUUUUUCAUGCUUUGACUUUCAUAUUUUCUGUGUUCUAAUUUGAAACGUAUACAUCUUGUAAGCAGCUUAUAGUUUUAAAAUCCAGUCUGACAUAUUUAGCUUAGUCCUUUACAUCAAAUGCAUCUGAAUACUUAUGUUUUGAGCACUUUGGGGUAUAUAUGCUCUUCAUUAGUAUCAAGUUUACUUUUAACAAAAAGUUCUAACGGUACCUAUUUUACAUGGUUGAUUUUUGUAACCAAAUAAGAUUUCUUUCAUUUAUUGUUCCAAGAUUUAUUGAGGUAUAAUUAACAAAUACAAAUGUUUAAGGCAUACAAUGUGGUGUUUCGAUAUACAAUGAUCAUUGUGAAAUGAUUACAAUAGUCAAGCUAAUUAACAUAUAGACCUCACAUAGUUAUGUGUGUGUGUGUGUGUGUGUGUGUGUGUGUGUGUGUUGAAAACAUUGAAGCCCUCCUCUCUUAGCAACCUUCAAAUAUACAAUACCAUACAGUAUUGUUAAUUAUAGUCAACAUGGUAUAAUUAGAGCUCCAAAAUAUAUUCAUUCUUACUGAAACUUUGUACCCUGUGACAAACAUCUACAUAUUAAAGUGUGUAAUUUCUAACUCUAAGUAUGUGAUGACCAUUUUUUGGUUUCUAUCCAUAAGUUUCCAGAUACAUGAUAGUAAAAAAGUUUGUUGAACCCAACUGAAAGAAAAGCAUGCAAAAAGGGGUAAGCUUCAAGAUCUCUCAGAGUAAGGACAAUAACAUGACACACGUGUGAAUAUACUUUAGACAGUGUAUACAAUUUAUUUGGUCAAGGUAAGUAAGAUUAGCUUCUAUAAUAAACAAUCUUCAAAAGUAUAGGAGUAUAACACAAUAAAGUGUUUUUUUUCUCAUAUUAUAUCUGGCGUUAUGGCUACAAUGACUGGUUAUUUUAUAAAAACAAUUUUGAUAUAUCUCAAAUACAAAGAAAAAACUCAUCCUCUAAAAAACUCAGUAGUUGUGUAUGAUUAUU
rnacentral:lncRNA from 1 species